UCAAGAAACUUAAAUAGAAGUUGACGGGGCCCGGCACAAGACGGAGGAGCAUGUGGUUUAAUUCGAUGAUACGCGAGGAACCUUACCUGGGCUCGAACGUAAGAUGACUGUAGGUGAAAGCUUACAUCUCUUCGGAGCAUUUUACGAGGUGCUGCAUGGUUGUCGUCAGCUCGUGCCGUGAGGUGUCGGGUUAAGUCCCAUAACGAGCGCAACCCCUACCUUUAGUUGCCAUCAGGUUAAGCUGGGGACUCUAAAGGAACUGCCUACGCAAGUAGUGAGGAAGCGGGGAUGACGUCAAAUCAGCACGGCCCUUACGUCCAGGGCUACACACGUGCUACAAUGGCCGAUACAGAGGGCAGCUACCUGGUGACAGGAUGCAAAUCUCCAAAGUCGGUCUCAGUUCGGAUCGGAGUCUGCAACCCGACUCCGUGAAGUUGGAUUCGCUAGUAAUCGCGCAUCAGCCAUGGCGCGGUGAAUACGUUCCCGGGCCUU
rnacentral:rRNA from 1 species